rnacentral:rRNA from 1 species
GACGAACGCUGGCGGCGUGCCUAAUACUUGCAAGUCGAACGCAGUGGGGACGGGUGAGUAACACGUGGGUAACCUCCCAUCAGAGGGGAUAACACUUGGAAACAGGUGCUAAACCGAUACUGAUGGAUGGACCCGCGGUGCAUUAGCUAGUUGGUGAGGUAACGGCUCACCAAGGCCAAGAGGCAUAGCCGGCCCGGGAGUUGGAUCGACCAGACUGCGAGUGAGACACGGCGCUGACUCCUACGGAAGGCAGCAGUAGGGAAACUUGGGCAAUGGACGAGAGUCUGACCGGGCAACGGUGCGUGAAGGAAGGAGGUAUGCGGAUCGUAAAACUCUGUUGUUAGAGAGGCGGUAUCUAACGUGUAUGCCACGGCUGACUACGUGCCAGCAGCCGCGGUAAUAC